UUAUUUAUAUUAUUAUUAAUUUUAUUUUGAAGGAUUAAUUUAUUUUUAUUAUCUAUUUAUGAAAAAAUUAUUUUUAUUAUAGUUUAUUAGUAUAGUUAUAGAAUUAUUUUUAAAUUUUUUAAAGAAAAGUUUAUUUUUUGUACCUUGUGUUUCAGGGUUAAUUAAUUUAAAAUUAAUUAUUUAAUUUUCCCGAUUAUAAAAGAGUAAAUUUUUUAUUGAUUUAAUUGUUUAAUAAAUUUUUUUAAUAAAAAAUUUGAAAUGAAAUGUUAUUCGUUUUUAUAAAUAUCUGGUUUUUAAAGAAAAAAAUUUAAUUUUUUAAUUUUUAUUUAAACAUUUAAUUUUUAAUUGUUUAUUUUUAAUUUAAAAUGUUUAAUGGGAUGAGCUUUUAAACAUAGUUUUAAAAAUUAAUUUUUAUUUAAUUAUUAAUAUGAUUAUGAUUGUCAAUUUAUUGAAUAAUUUAAUAGUUAAUAUUUUUUUUGUUAUUAUUUAUAUUUUAUUUUAAUUUUUUUAUUUAAAUUUAUUAUUUAAUGUUUUUUUUUUAUUAAUAAUGAUUGAAUUAGUAAAUAAUUUAUUUAUUUAAUAAUAAUUAUUUAAGUUAAUUAUAAGGAAUUCGGCAAAUACUAUUUCCGCCUGUUUAUUAAAAACAUGUCUUUUUGAUAAUAAUUUAAGGUUUAAUCUGCUCAAUGAUUAUUUAAAUUGCCGCAGUAUUUUGACUGUGCAAAGGUAGCAUAAUAAUUAGUUUUUUUAUUGGGAACUCGAAUGAAUGAUUGGACGAGAAAUAUUCUGUCUCUUAAUUAUUUUUAUUGAAUUUAACUUUUAAGUUAAAAGGCUUAAAUUGUUAUCAAAGACGAGAAGACCCUAUAGAGUUUUAUUAUUGAUUUAUAAUUAUUUUUUUUGGUAUUUAAAUUUAAUAUAUUUUAAUAAUUUAGUUGGGGUGACUAAAAGAUUUAAUUAACUCUUUUAAUUUAUAAUCAUAGAUUUAUGAAUAUAUUAUCUAUAAUAUUAAAUUUAAAUUAAAUUACCUUGGGGAUAACAGCGUAAUUUCUUUUUAUAGUUCUUAUUGAUAAAGAAGUUUGCGACCUCGAUGUUGGAUUAAAAUAUAUUUUGGGUGUAGAAGCUUGAAUAUUAAGUCUGUUCGACUUUUAAAAUUUUACAUGAUCUGAGUUUAAACCGGUGUGAGCCAGGUUGGUUUCUAUCUUGAUUUUAAUAUUAUAUUUUAGUACGAAAGGACCGGAUAUUGAAUAUAUUUAUUUUUAAUUUGAAUUUUAUU
rnacentral:rRNA from 1 species